rnacentral:snRNA from 1 species
AGAUUAUUACAAAUAUAAAUA